AUUUUAUUGGAAUAUAGGGUUACAAAAUACUUUCUAAUUAUCUUCUGUAUUUCUGUGGUGUCUGUUGUGAUAUUGCCUUUUUCAUCCCGGUCGCCGAGUCGAGUCGCACGGGCAGCGGCUAGCGGGUCCGGACCUCUGCGCUGCGCUGCAUGGCGGAGAUUCACUCGUCUGGGGCAAACUGUCACCUCCAAAAAUCCUACCAAUUGCCGGCCCGGUCUCUCUUCAGUGGAAUUUUGCCAGAAGCCUCUCAGCAGAUGAGGUGAUCUUUCAUGUCGGUUCUUCCUCUGAUCUCAGCUCUGGCCUGCAGGACACCUCUCCAGGAGUACCUCAGCUGUUACACUAGAGCAUUGUGUAUUCUCCUGAUUUUCUCUUGGUGGCACAGUUUGCUGAGGUGCUUCCUCACCAGACUCCUGGGCCUGUUGGAGUAUAAAAUAUAAAGUAUGAAAAUACUCACAACUACAGACUCAACAGGCUGAGAAGACUCUUGUUCAUCCUGUCUUCCUCCAGCUUUAGUUCUUGGUCUUUCUUGUCUUCUCAUGUUCCACUCUAAAACCAAAAUAAUGUGAUUUGAAGUAUGAAUUUAAAGGACAACAUAGUUGACCAUUCCCUGUAGUCUAGAUAAUGUGUAAUUUCUUAAAAUGUAGAAAAAUCUUUCAAAAUAAAUCCUAGGGUACUACUAAUACACAAUGUAUGCCCCGUG